rnacentral:rRNA from 1 species
UACGUAGGGGGCAAGCGUUGUCCGGAAUCAUUGGGCGUAAAGCGCGUGUAGGCGGUCCGGUAAGUCCGCUGUGAAAGUCGGGGGCUCAACCCUCGGAUGCCGGUGGAUACUGUCGGGCUAGAGUGCGGAAGAGGCGAGUGGAAUUCCUGGUGUAGCGGUGAAAUGCGCAGAUAUCAGGAGGAACACCUAUUGCGAAGGCAGCUCGCUGGGACGUUACUGACGCUGAGACGCGAAAGCGUGGGGAGCAAACAGG